GGCCGGCAGCUUGAUGUCGGUGAUGUGCAGCGAGCUGCCGAUGUCGAGCUUGCCAACGUCCGCUUCGAGAUACUGCGGGAUGUUGGCGGCAGGCACUUCGAGGUCGAUGUUGUGGGUCACGAUGUUGACCGUGCCGCCGCGCUUCACGCCAGGCGCGGUUUCCGAGUUCAGCACGUGCAGCGGAACGCUGACGCGGAUCUUG
rnacentral:misc_RNA from 1 species